AAUAUAAUUUUGGAUAAUAGGCACGGAAGAAUCUCUUAGAAGUUAGUCGAUCUGUUCAUUCAGUGCUCCGUGAAAGGUAAGUAAUGAAUCAUCUUCUCGAGAUAUUUCAUAUUUAUUCUGAAAAUAAAUAAUUAUUCUCUAAAAUUAUGCAUGAUUUAUGAAAUUAUGUUUUGAAAGAAAAGUGCGUUUGAAAUAUUAUGG
rnacentral:lncRNA from 1 species